CGGGGAUGGGGCGGUGCCGGAAGUAGGCGUGGCCUGGCGGGCGGAAGCGGAAGCGGUGGGAGCGGCCAUGGAGGAGGAGGCGGCGGGAGGGAGGGAGCUGCUGGCCCUGCCCGGGGUCUCUGUCCCCGUGUCCCUCCCCCCGCGGCUGCUGCGGGGACAGCUCCGGGUGUGGCUGCGGUCGCAGGAGGUGGUGCUGCAGUGGGAGCCCCUGGAGGAGAACUGGGAACCCCCCGGGGAUGAGGUG